GAUGAAGAACGUAGCGAAAUGCGAUAAGUAAUGUGAAUUGCAGAAUUCAGUGAAUCAUCGAAUCUUUGAACGCACAUUGCGCCCGCCAGUAUUCUGGCGGGCAUGCCUGUUCGAGCGUCAUUUCAACCAUCAAGCCCCCGGGCUUGUGUUGGGGACCUGCGGCUGCCGCAGGCCCUGAAAACCAGUGGCGGGCUCGCUAGUCACUCCGAGCGUAGUAGUUACAUCUCGCUCAGGGCGUGCUGCGGGUUCCGGCCGUUAAAAGCCUUUUACCCCAAGGUUGACCUCGGAUCAGGUAGGAAGACCCGCUGAACUUAAGCAUAUCAAUAAGCCGAGGA
rnacentral:misc_RNA from 1 species